rnacentral:tmRNA from 1 species
CCCCUUCACAUCGCGCGCCAAUGCCCUAUAUGGGGAGGUGCCGGUUUCGACCGGCUAUGGCGAUAAAUUGUGAUGUGCAAUAGGCACAGCGGACCCGGGGGCAGUACCCGGCGGCUCCACCAUAUACCCCGUUUCGAUGGGGCGCAUGACGGGGCCGAACCAGGAUCGACGUGUGUUGAAAGACAUUAUUUUUGCCCGGGCUGAGUAACCCGUAAAACUGUUCAAAACACACAAGUGCCAACGAUAACGAAGCACUCGCUCUCGCCGCGUAAUGUGACGGCCUAACGGCCUGAAUUUACAAAGCUAAAGCGCGGUUGGACCCACCGGGCAACAGAAGUGGAUUCCG